GUAGCAAUACUUUGGUGGCGACCGGCGCACGGGUGAGUAACGCGUAUGCAACCCAUCUAUCAGAGGGGAAUAACCCGGCGAAAGUCGGACUAAUACCGCAUAAAACAGGGACACCGCAUGGUGAUAUUUGUUAAAGAAAUUCGCUGAUAGAUGGGCAUGCGUUCCAUUAGGUAGUUGGUGAGGUAACGGCUCACCAAGCCGACGAUGGAUAGGGGAACUGAGAGGUUGGUCCCCCACACUGGUACUGAGACACGGACCAGACUCCUACGGGAGGCAGCGGUGAGGAAUAUUGGUCAAUGGGCGAGAGCCUGAACCAGCCAAGUCGCGUGAAGGAAGAAGGAUCUAUGGUUCGUAAACUUCUUUUGCAGGGGAAUAAAGUGCAGGACGUGUCCUGUUUUGUAUGUACCCUGAGAAUAAGGAUCGGCUAACUCCGUGCCAGCAGCCGCGGUAAUACGGAGGAUCCGAGCGUUAUCCGGAUUUAUUGGGUUUAAAGGGUGCGUAGGUGGUUUGAUAAGUCAGCGGUGAAAGUUUGCAGCUUAACUGUAAAAAUGCCGUUGAAACUGUCGGACUUGAGUGUAAAUGAGGUAGGCGGAAUGCGUGGUGUAGCGGUGAAAUGCUUAGAUAUCACGAAGAACUCCGAUUG
rnacentral:rRNA from 1 species